rnacentral:rRNA from 1 species
UACGUAGGGUCCGAGCGUUGUCCGGAAUUACUGGGCGUAAAGAGCUCGUAGGCGGUCUGUCGCGUCGGCUGUGAAAACCCGAGGCUCAACCUCGGGCCUGCAGUCGAUACGGGCAAACUAGAGUACUGCAGGGGAGACUGGAAUUCCUGGUGUAGCGGUGAAAUGCGCAGAUAUCAGGAGGAACACCGGUGGCGAAGGCGGGUCUCUGGGCAGUAACUGACGCUGAGGAGCGAAAGCGUGGGGAGCGAACAGG